rnacentral:lncRNA from 1 species
AAAAAAUAAUAAUAAUAAUAAUAAAAUAAUAAUAAAUAAAAAAAAAAGGCAGCAUUACUGUUUUUCCACAUGAAUCAGUUUCUUGGCCACAGUAAGUGUCCUGCAAUGUAUUAUCAGUUUUAUCAAAAGGAGACCUUAAACCUUUCAUUUAAAACCUGAAUGUUUAGUAUCAAGCCAACAAACUUAUAAUGCCAAAACCCAAGCAAGUCUGGGUUGGACUGACCUGAAGCAAAAUUCUGAGCUUCACAUUUCCCAGAGGGAAUGUUUUGUGUUUAUUAUUAUUUUUAUUAACUUAUUUUAGUAACAUUGAAAUUUAUUUAUGAAAAAAUGAACAGUACACUGACAAAAAUGGCUCAUGUGGUCUCAUGUACACCAUGUGUGAAGUGCCCAGGCACUAGAUUUAGACUACUAGACUGGUUAUUUCCCUCUGGACAUUACGUUGAGGCUACCAUCUUAUGA